GGAUAGUUCAGUUGGUUAGAGCAUUGUGCUGAUAGCACUAAGGUUGCAGGUUCGAUCCCCUCAUGGAACA